CCCGCAGCGGGCUACCUGCAGUCGAGCGAGAAGCCUUCGGGUGAGUACAGCGGCGGACGGGUGAGUAACGCGUAGGAAUCUACCUGGUAGUGGGGGACAACUUGGGGAAACUCAAGCUAAUACCGCAUACGCCCUGAGGGGGAAAGCGGGGGAACCUUUUCUUCGGAACGGGUCCUCGCGCUAUCAGAUGAGCCUGCGUAGGAUUAGCUUGUUGGUGAGGUAAAGGCUCACCAAGGCGACGAUCCUUAGCUGGUCUGAGAGGAUGAUCAGCCACACUGGAACUGAGACACGGUCCAGACUCCUACGGGAGGCAGCAGUGGGGAAUAUUGCGCAAUGGGCGAAAGCCUGACGCAGCCAUGCCGCGUGUGUGAAGAAGGCCCUAGGGUUGUAAAGCACUUUCAAUUGGGAAGAAAGGUUGUUGCCGAAUACGCAGCAACUGUGACGUUACCUUUAGAAGAAGCACCGGCUAACUCCGUGCCAGCAGCCGCGGUAAUACGGAGGGUGCGAGCGUUAAUCGGAAUUACUGGGCGUAAAGCGCGCGUAGGCGGUUUGUUAAGUCGGAUGUGAAAGCCCCGGGCUCAACCUGGGAAUUGCAUACGAUACUGAUCGACUAGAGUACGAGAGAGGGAGGUAGAAUUCCACGUGUAGCGGUGAAAUGCGUAGAUAUGUGGAGGAAUACCGGUGGCGAAGGCGGCCUCCUGGCUCGAUACUGACGCUGAGGUGCGAAAGCGUGGGUAGCAAACAGGAUUAGAUACCCUGGUAGUCCACGCCGUANACGAUGUCUACUAGCCGUUGGGAGACUUGAUUUCUUAGUGGCGCAGCUAACGCACUAAGUAGACCGCCUGGGGAGU
rnacentral:rRNA from 1 species